GCUGGGUGCAGAGACACACGCCUGUAAUCCUAGCAACUCGGGAAGCUGAGGCAGGAGGACCCCAAGUUCAAGGUCAACCUGGGGAACUUAGUGAGACCCUGUCUCCA
rnacentral:sRNA from 1 species